GCCUUGCCCAGUAGUGUUCUUUUCUGGUAGCCAAGGAACAUUUACAGAAGGAAAGAAUCCCAGUACAGUCUCAGACAGCUAAUGGAUUCAUAUCUGUGCUCUACCCAUCAGAUUGCUUGAAACAUGGUGGAAUUGGCUGUCUGAACAGAAAAUCUGUCCUGGAAUUUUGGGUCAAUGAAGUCUCUCAUCAAUGGAGAUGUACAAAAUCAAAUUGACAGUCAAGGGCACCAAACUGACUGUUCUUCAAUCUACCCUCAGAAUCCAAGGUGUGAAAACCAGGGAGAGGCAGAAGAGCUAAGAUGAUUAAAUGAGUUGGGGACCCUUUGUCUGUGGCAUUGUUAUCAAGGCUAAAAUUAUUAAGCAGAAAACGGAGCAUUCAGGAUGCUGAGAUUCAGAAGGAACAACGGGACUCUCCACUCAACAUUUUCUGAAGCAGGCCCUGAGACUUGCAAUAGUUUCAAAGCAGAACUGCUUUGUGGCUGGCCAGAAUGUCAACAGUCCUAACCAGUUUGUAUUAAAAAAAAAAUUACAGCAGGUUUGCUUCAAAUUUUGUAACAAUAAGAUUGCUUUCAUCUGGAUUAUAGCAACAUCUUGAUUAAUUACAAUGAAAAUAACAAGAUGUUUCAAUUAGACACUUUUUGUCCAUAU
rnacentral:lncRNA from 1 species